UACGGAGGAUCCAAGCGUUAUCCGGAAUCAUUGGGUUUAAAGGGUCCGUAGGCGGUUUGGUAAGUCAGUGGUGAAAGCCCAUCGCUCAACGGUGGAACGGCCAUUGAUACUGCCAGACUUGAAUUAUUAGGAAGUAACUAGAAUAUGUAGUGUAGCGGUGAAAUGCUUAGAGAUUACAUGGAAUACCAAUUGCGAAGGCAGGUUACUACGAAUGGAUUGACGCUGAUGGACGAAAGCGUGGGUAGCGAACAGG
rnacentral:rRNA from 1 species